AAGCACAAAGGAUGGAGCCGAGAUG
rnacentral:piRNA from 1 species